AAAGUCGUAACAAGGUUUCCGUAGGUGAACCUGCGGAAGGAUCAUUAAUGAAAAGUUCUUUUAGAACCAAUCAUCACCCCUUUGUUUACUUACCAUGUUGCUUCCACUGGACAGGUUAGCCCCUCAAAAGGUUGACCCUCUGGCUUCGUGCUGGGGAGUGCCGGUGGAUAACCCACACAAAAAAACUUGAACCAAAACCUAAAUAAGCAAUUUUGUCUGAAUAAGUUUUUAUAAACCUUUAUAAAACUUUCAACAACGGAUCUCUAGGCUCUU
rnacentral:misc_RNA from 1 species